rnacentral:misc_RNA from 1 species
CUGUUCGAGCGUCAUUACAACCCUCAAGCUCUGCUUGGUAUUGGGCGUCACCCCCGGGUGCGCCUUAAAAUCAGUGGCGGUGCGUCUGGCUUCAAGCGUAGUAAUACUUCUCGCUUUGGAGUCCGGGCGAGCGUCCUGCCAAAACCCCCAUAUUUUUUCAGGUUGACCUCGGAUCAGGUAGGGAUACCCGCUGAACUUAA